CUUCAUAAACUUGCUGAGGGCAAAUGAAGUGGAUAUGGGUAUCAAAGCCACCGGCAGUAAUGAUUUUGCCUUCACCAGCAAUAACAUCCGUACAUGAUCCGACAAUCAUAUUCGGAGUGACACCAUCCAUCACAUCAGGAUUACCGGCUUUACCAAUACCUACUAUCAUACCGUUUUUAACACCAAUAUCGGCUUUGUAGAUACCAGUCCAAUCGACAAUCAAGGCAUUAACAAUAACAAGAUCCAAUGAUAUGUCGUCGGAUACACCUGUAGCUUGGCCCAUACCUUCUCGUAAAG
rnacentral:sRNA from 1 species